CUCCUAGUUCUGCACCAGCAGACAUUACCACUACAGCAGCACCCACUGCUGCACCAGCAGACACUACCACCACCCCUGCAGAAGACACAACUCCUGGAGCAGAAGUCACGACCGUGCCUACAACACCUGGAACCCCAGCGACAAGUUCACCUGCUGCAUCAGUCCCUUCAACUCCUGAAACAACCACUGCCACUACACAGCUCAUUCCCCUGCCUAAGUACGUGAGGCUGAUGUUGCUGAAAUAUCUAAAUAGCCUGUGCCAGCCAAGGAGACCUGGGAUGCCAGGAAUAACAUUGGAAAGGUGUGUAAAAGACCCAACCUGUGGGAAUAACCCUUCAUCAGGCCAGAGGCUUGUCCAGCUCCGUUACAAUGCUCCUUUAAAGAAUGGAAUGUGCCUACAGUGCAAAGUAUUAGGGUGCAACAUACUCCCUCUUCCUCCUGCCCGACCCUUCCCAGGGAACUUAUUCCCAAUUCCUCUUCCCCGACCCUUCCCAGGGAUCAAGAUCCCUUCUUUCAGACCCUUCCCAGUGAACAGGCUCCCUGCUCCCCAACCCUUCCCAGGCUCCAGGAGAAGAGCCAGAAGCACAAGUGGCGGAGUCGUUGUUGUCGUCGUCCCCAAGUAAUGAUGCUUCUGACCAUGACAUUAUGUUGAGCA